UGCAUUUUGUUUAAUGAUUAAGAUGUUUAGGGUGCACUUAGAUACGUUUUAAAUAUUAGGGUGCAAACCUCAACAAUGCACAAACUUUGGGGUGUACACUGUCUUUUAGUCGGUAAAAAAGAAAGGGAAGUUUGUAAUUUUUAUCUACUAUUCGAAUCACUACUUCUUUGCUUGCAUUUACUUCCACCUUCUAGGCUAACACAAUAUCUACAUUAAAGUAAUUGCUCCAACUUAAUUCUUUUUCCUUUUUCUCUAUUUUUUCCAUAACUAAACUUUGUUUUCUCUUUCCCAAACAUGUAAUCAAAAAGGUGAGCAAGUCCCUCUGGUGACAAUAGUUUAUAUGUUACCACUUUGUUCCACCCAAACAUGACUAUUGACCAUACUGGAAUGAGAAUGAAAUCUUUAAUGAUGGUAAUUGACUAAAUUGAUUUCUC
rnacentral:lncRNA from 1 species